UUGAACGCUGACGGCAUGCUUUACACAUACAAGUCGAACAGUAACAGACCACAAAAUGCUGACAAAUAACGAACAGAUGAGUAAUACAUCGGAACGUACCCAGUCGUAGAAGAUAACACAGCGAAAGCUGUACUAAUACCACAUACGAUCUAUAGAUGAAAACAAAGGACCGUAAAACCUCGCGCGAUUGGAGCGACCGAUGUCAGAUUAGGUAGUUGAUAAGAUAAAAACCCACCAAACCAACGAUCUGUAACUGGUCUGAGAGGACAACCAACCACACUGAAACUGAGACACAGUCCAGACUCCUACAAAAAACAACAGUAAGGAAUUUUGGACAAUAAACACAAGCCUGAUCCAGCAAUACCACGUACAGGAAAAAAACCUUCAGGUUGUAAACUGCUUUUGUACAAAACGAAACAAUCUAAAUUAAUACCUCAAGCUAAUGACGGUACCGUAAGAAUAAGCACCGGCUAACUACGU
rnacentral:rRNA from 1 species